rnacentral:rRNA from 1 species
AGAGAGAGACAUGCGCGCAUAUCAAUAAGCGGAGGAAAAGAAACUAACAAGGAUUCCCCUAGUAACGGCGAGUGAAGCGGGAAGAGCUCAAAUUUGAAAUCUUAAAGGGUUUCCCUUUACGAAUUGUAGUUUAAAGAAGUGUUUUCUGUUGAGGUUUUGGUAAAAGUUCUUUGGAAUAGGACAUCAUAGAGGGUGAGAAUCCCGUAUUUGACCUUUACUUUCAACUUUGUGAUACACUUUCAAAGAGUCGGAUUGUUUGGGAAUGCAGUCCAAAAUGGGUGGUAAAUUUCAUCUAAAGCUAAAUAGUGGCGAGAGACCGAUAGCGAACAAGUACCGUGAGGGAAAGAUGAAAAGAACUUUGAAAAGAGAGUUAAACAGUACGUGAAAUUGUCAAAAGGGAAGCGUUUGACACCAGUGUUGUUUUUCUGAAAAUCAAUUAAAGAACUGUUUAUGCUAAGCUGUUUAGACUUUAUCAGCUAUCUGUUUAGUUUUGAGCUUUUCUUUAAUGCACUUUUCAGUUAACAAGUCAACAUCAAUUUCUUUUGCUGUAAAAAAGCUUGAGGAAGGUGGCUUGAGAUUCGUCUUAAGUGUUUAUAGCCUCUUGCCUAUGCAGUCGGAGAGAUUGAGGUCUGCAGCGUAGAUCCUUCGGGGCUAAAUGCAUUUGUGCUAAGUUAUAGCAUUUUAUAGACAACUUGUUGACUAUGAUUUGUCUUGUAGCUUACUCGCUUAUGUUAUUUUACCUACGCUUAGGAUGUUGAGCGCAUGUCUCUCUCU